rnacentral:rRNA from 1 species
CCUACGGGAGGCUGCAGUGGGGAAUAUUGCACAAUGGGGGAAACCCUGAUGCAGCAACGCCGCGUGAGCGAAGAAGGCCUUCGGGUCGUAAAGCUCUGUCCUAAGGGAAGAAGCAUGACGGUACCUUAGGAGGAAGCCCUGGCUAACUACGUGCCAGCCGCCGCGGUAAUACGUAGGGGGCGAGCGUUAUCCGGAAUCACUGUGCGUAAAGGGUGCGUAUGCGACCAAUUAAGCCAGAGGUGAAAGGCUACGGCUUCACCGUAGUAAGCCCUUGGAACUGAAUGGCUUGAGUGCAGGAGAGGAGAAUGAAAUUCCUAGUGUACCGGUGAAAUGCGUAGAUAUUAGGAGGAACACCAGUGGCGAAGGCGACUCUCUGGACUGUAACUGACGCUGAGGCACGAAAGCGUGGAGAGCAAACAGGAUUAGAUACCCUAGUAGUC